GCCCGCUACAGAAACUCAAAGGAAUUGACGGACCCCGCACAAGCGGUGGAUCAUGUUGUUUAAUUCGAUGAUACGCGAAGAACCUUACCAGGUCUUGACAUCCCCCGCGAUGCUUUAGAGAUAAAGCGGAGGUAUUCGGGGAGACAGGUGGUGCAUGGUUGUCGUCAGCUCGUGUCGUGAGAUGUUGGGUUAAGUCCCGCAACGAGCGCAACCCCUAUUGCUAGUUACCAUCAUUAAGUUGGGGACUCUAGCGAGACUGCCAGUGAUAAACUGGAGGAAGGUGGGGAUGACGUCAAAUCAUCAUGCCCCUUAUGACCUGGGCUACAAACGUGAUACAAUGGCUGGAACAAAGGGAUGCGAAGCAGUGAUGUGGAGCGAAACCCAUAAAAACAGUCUCAGUUCGGAUUGAAGUCUGCAACUCGACUUCAUGAAGUCGGAAUCGCUAGUAAUCGCGGAUCAGAACGCCGCGGUGAAUACGUUCUCGGGGUUU
rnacentral:rRNA from 1 species